rnacentral:rRNA from 1 species
AGGGUUCGAUUCUGGCUCAGGAUGAACGCUAGCGACAGGCUUAACACAUGCAAGUCGAGGGGCAGCACGGGAGUAGCAAUACUUGGUGGCGACCGGCGCACGGGUGAGUAACGCGUAUGCAACCUACCUAUCAGAGGGAAUAACCCGGCGAAAGUCGGACUAAUACCGCAUAAAACAGGGGCACCGCAUGGUGAUAUUUGUUAAAGAAAUUCGCUGAUAGAUGGGCAUGCGUUCCAUUAGGUAGUUGGUGAGGUAACGGCUCACCAAGCCGACGAUGGAUAGGGGAACUGAGAGGUUGGUCCCCCACACUGGUACUGAGACACGGACCAGACUCCUACGGGAGGCAGCAGUGAGGAAUAUUGGUCAAUGGGCGGGAGCCUGAACCAGCCAAGUCGCGUGAAGGAAGAAGGAUCUAUGGUUCGUAAACUUCUUUUGCAGGGGAAUAAAGUGCAGGACGUGUCCUGUUUUGUAUGUACCCUGAGAAUAAGGAUCGGCUAACUCCGUGCCAGCCGCCGC